UACGGGGGGGGCAAGCGUUGUUCGGAAUUACUGGGCGUAAAGGGCUCGUAGGCGGCCAACUAAGUCCGACGUGAAAUCCCCAGGCUUAACCUGGGAACUGCGUCGGAUACUGGAUGGCUUGAAUUCGGGAGAGGGAUGCAGAAUUCCAGGUGUAGCGGUGAAAUGCGUAGAUAUCUGGAGGAAUACCGGUGGCGAAGGCGGCAUCCUGGACCGGCAUUGACGCUGAGGCGCGAAAGCUAGGGUAGCAAACGGG
rnacentral:rRNA from 1 species